rfam:Aureimonas ureilytica strain NS365 contig_16, whole genome shotgun sequence.
GGGCGCGUAGCUCAGCGGGAGAGCACCUCGUUCACACCGAGGGGGUCACAGGUUCGAUCCCUGUCGCGCCCA